rnacentral:miRNA from 1 species
GGUUCAAGUGAACAGGAAGA